UGAGUAACCUGCCCUUAACUCUGGGAUAAGCCUGGGAAACUGGGUCUAAUACCGGAUAUGACUCCUCAUCGCAUGGUGGGGGGUGGAAAGCUUUAUUGUGGUUUUGGAUGGACUCGCGGCCUAUCAGCUUGUUGGUGAGGUAAUGGCUCACCAAGGCGACGACGGGUAGCCGGCCUGAGAGGGUGACCGGCCACACUGGGACUGAGACACGGCCCAGACCUCCUACGGGAGCAG
rnacentral:rRNA from 1 species